rnacentral:rRNA from 1 species
UACGUAGGGGGCAAGCGUUGUCCGGAAUCAUUGGGCGUAAAGCGCGCGUAGGCGGCCCUGUAAGUCCGUUGUGAAAGUCAAAGGCUCAACCUUUGAAAGCCGGUGGAUACUGUCGGGCUAGAGUGCGGAAGAGGCGAGUGGAAUUCCUGGUGUAGCGGUGAAAUGCGCAGAUAUCAGGAGGAACACCGAUUGCGAAGGCAGCUCGCUGGGACGUCACUGACGCUGAGACGCGAAAGCGUGGGGAGCAAACAGG